GGGGUUGUGGCUCAGCGGUACAGUGCUUGCCCAGCACAUGCAAGGCGCUGGGUUCAAUCCUCACUACCACA
rnacentral:tRNA from 1 species